AAUAGAAAGCCCGAACGAAUACUCAAAGGUUCUCCUCUAUGGAAGCUUUCACAGCUUUCUCGAUGCUAUUCUCCCUACCCCCUCGCUUUGCCACGGCCAUACUGUACAGUGUGUACCGCUUCUCCGCUGCUCGUCGCCCAGAGGCCAAAGCCAUCCGGUGCCUGCCUAGUUGCGAGAGCCAGCCCAGUCUGCACGGCACUACUUUUACCACUAGUAGCAAGCAAAUCCAACCGGACGGCAUUGAAGGCAUCCAUAACCACCCAAGCCGCAACGGCAGCAUUUUGAACACACCCAACCCAACACGGGGGCUGUCCCGUCGAUCAGAUGCAGACAUGGUUCCAGUCCUGC
rnacentral:misc_RNA from 1 species